UAGCAACUAUGCGUGCGAGCUUGAGCUGAGUUUUAGGGUUUUCAACAAUAAAUUCUUUUACUGUGAAUGCUUUCAAUCUCAAAGUUUUGGUGUCGAAGAGUCUGACAAUAUGCCGAGUGAACAGUGGCCGCGGCGGACCCUUGAGGUGUGUGACGACUUUUGAAGAGAUGAGGAUGCCCUGCGUAGAUGAAUUACGGACUAAACUUAAGCAGCACACUGUCUGAAUAUACAGGAUCUCGUCAUCGAAGAGUAAUUGUAAGGUUCUGUUUUACAUCUGGACAAGGUGUUCAGGAGUGGUUUUAGCAAGUUGAGUUUUCCUUCCCUGCCUGCUUGAGGGGGAAAAAGUAGCUCACAAUGUUUAUGACCUCGGGGGACGGUUUUCGACGUGAAGCCUCUAAAACUUGUGAGCCGCGCUCUAGAAUUUGUGAACGCGUGAUGUUUACAUGCAUCCCCCUUUCCUUAAGAACGAUCUUGCGUAUAAAUGUUGGAUUUAGAACAUGGAAACUUCCAUGACGUGCGUAUAGGUCUUGGUUCACGUAUUUGAACUCACUUUUUUGAGCAGAAGUGUAAAAAUUGCUGAAGCACGAAAUUUAUAUUUAUUGGUGUUGACGAAGGUCAUCGACUCAUGCCGGCAGAUAACUGAACUUCGGCUUCCACGUACUAAAUGUUACUUAGUGUCCCCGUCAGAAAAUAUAGGAAUACACCACCUUGCAGGCGAGCAUAGUAGUAAUGGUUGCGUUUUUUUUCUGCUUUGAUCUCAAUCACGAAACAGAAAUACUUUCAGGUGUGUUAAACGGACUUAAUGCUACAUGUAUUUUUAUCAGUGACGUUUGAAGUUAGUGAGACGUUACGACAUACUAGAAAUCAAACUAUCAAUACCUAAGGGGCUAUUUCAUCUGGCGUGUUUAAGCAGAGCACGGAAGUGCAGAGAACCUUGAUCGAGCUGUGUUCGCUAUUGAGGUUUCUAUAUUCAAACGAGUUCCAAGAACUACAGAUCAAUUCAGAAGUUUGCUCCAGUAGAUUCUCGAGGAGAUUCCUGAGGAUAAGUUGGGGUUAGAGCUGCAAUUAUCUCGACUAAUUGAGCUCCUGGCAUCUCGGCAAACUUGCUUUUGCUUGAUCAGCAGAAUAUCCAAUGAACAUGGUUCAUAUAUCUGAACAAAAACGGUGUGAGCAUUCUUCUAUAAUUUUGACUGGAGCAUCUGGAACUUAAGGUUUUCUUCUACAUAUGAAAUCUAUUAAUUAAAAUAUGUUUAUAUGUAGUUUCACAUUGUAGGUUAGAGUAGAUUUCAGAACAGAGACUCGCAACUUUUAGUUUUAUUUCGGCAACCAUUUGGACAAGCAGGAUUUGAAAGAUAACAAGAUGUACUGGUAUCGAAAGAUCACUCAGCUUCGUCUUGAUGGAUCUCAGGAUAGUCUUGCUGUCAUCCUGGGAGUGACUUCACUUCUUUGUACCAGAUUAUUAAAGUACUGUGACCCUGGACAUUUUUUGUGCUACAAAAUCUGAGUGAGGAGUUUCCUCUUCUUGGAUGCAUUUAUUUAUUUCCUGCCAAGGAGCCUGAGCAAGGUGAUGCGGACGAGUUAUUCAGGCUGCUUGUGACUGCCUCUGGAACACUCCGACUUAAGAAGCAUCUGCUCCCGAAAUUGAAAGAAUGUGGUCAAUGAGCACUUCUGUUUGCUCAAAUGAGAAGUAUGCUUGAAAUCCUGGAGGACUCUCGGAGCCACCUGAAUUUCAAGGUCUGGUGGAUCCAUGGAGCAACGAUUGCCUCCGAGAGUCAAAAGCAGAUUGUCGACUUCAACAGAAUAAAGCCAAAUAUUUUUAUUGUCCUUUCCUCAAUUGGUACUAGAAAUGUUUACACCAGUCUGGUAGGCAACAACAUAGAACAGAAGAUAUUGAAACAGAACUGGUCAACUGGUUCAAAGAAUGCUGUCGUCUCGAGUUUGACAAAUCUCAAACUUGUGGUGUGAUGUGUCCGUAAAGUCCAGUUACGGUCAAUCUCCACGGUAUUUACGGCCUUUUCUAACAGUGUUUUGUUCUAUUCGACUAUCGUUUGUUUCAGGUAACCUGUCCCACUAACAGACUAAUAUUUUGAUUUACUCAGCAAUCAAUCUUACUGAGAACUGAUUCGCCAGCUA